UUAAUGGUUUGUAAUUUAUUACUAAUCUUGGUGUUCAUCUUUCUAGUUUUGCAAUUUUUAUAACAUAGAAAGCAGAACAGCUCCAGACACUGCCCACUCUUAAUGCAUGGAGAUGAAGCAGAAACUCAUUGCAUUAUCUGAAUAAUGGACUACAUCACAAGGCCAUUACAAGUUAUGAUCAGCAUUCUGCAUCACAGGUUAUUAUAUAGACCAAACAAGUAGACAGACAUCAUUUACAAACCGCAACCAUUCGAAGAAAACUUGGGAUAUGGUUAAAAAUAGCAUAAACAUAUUUAAGUUUCUAGGAUCAAUUUUGCAAUUGCUUUUCAUUUUUUUCCAGGUUCAUUCUAUGAACCGUGCAACUAUCAACUGAAUCUUCUCAGACUUGAAA